GACGAACGCUGGCGGCGUGCUUAACACAUGCAAGUCGAACGGAAAGGCCCUGCUCUUGCGGGGUGCUCGAGUGGCGAACGGGUGAGUAACACGUGAGUAACCCGCCCCUGACUUUGGGAUAACAUCAGGAAACUGGGGCUAAUAUCGGAUAGGAGCUCUUGCUGCACGGUGGGGGUUGGAAAGUUUCGGCGGUUGGGGAUAGACUCGCGGCUUAUCAGCUUGUUUGUGGAGUAGUGGCUUACCAAGGCUUUGACGGCUAGCCGGCAUGAGAGGGGGGCCGGCGUCAUGGGGACUGAGAUACGGACCAGACUCGUAUGGUAGGCAGCGGUCGGGAGUAUUGCAGAAUAGGCGGAAGCCAGAUGCAGCAGCGCCGCGUGCGGAAUAACGGCCUUCGAGUUGUGAGCAACUUUCGCCUGUGACGAGGCGUGAGUGACGGUAAUGAGUAAGGAAGCACCGGCUAACUACGUG
rnacentral:rRNA from 1 species